rnacentral:rRNA from 1 species
UACGGAGGGUGCAAGCGUUACUCGGAAUCACUGGGCGUAAAGAGCGCGUAGGCGGGAUAGCAAGUCAGAUGUGAAAUCCUAUGGCUUAACCAUAGAACUGCAUUUGAAACUGUUAUUCUAGAGUAUGGGAGAGGUAGGUGGAAUUCUUGGUGUAGCGGUGAAAUGCGUAGAUAUCAGGAGGAACAUCGGUGGCGAAAGCGCUUUACUGGACCAUUAUUGACGCUGAGGAACGAAAGCCAGGGGAGCAAAUGGG